AUGGCACACCAACAGGAAGAUAAUCACGCCGACUUUCCACUUCAAGAUCUUGGACAGGAUUCUGCAGAAGGAAGUCAGAUCUCAGUACUUCGACGUGUAUCCUUACAUCACCCUCUGUGCUCUGGACAUUAUCUGUGAAACUACAAUGGGGAUCCCAGUUUAUGCACAAGAAGACUUAGAGUCGCCUUACAUCUCUGCAGUAUACGAGUGAGUGGGCAUUAUCAUCAUCAUCAUCCAGACUGUAUGUGGUAAAAACGGAGAGCAAUUUUUCAGGUUCCUAUGGCAAUGAGUAUGAAAAAGGCUGUCUUAUGGGUUAAAGGCAGGAGGAAGCUGUGAAAUUUCAGUCAGUUUCUAACAGAUUACAUGGUAUAACAUUCCAGUGGCAAUUUCUACAGUAAUAUUACAAGCUGUGUCUGCUGAUACGACCUUAGCACUCAUAACAUUCGAAAAUACAAAUGUGGUAAAGCUUAA